rnacentral:lncRNA from 1 species
CCUGAGUCACAGGCUCAGAAGCUUUCGCCUCCGCCUUCAGACUGGCCCUCAGGCUUCCCUGCUCAGAGGCAGGGAAUUGUGCAGCUGGAGUUUCAUUUUCCAAGAGGCAGGGUCUCAGUCUGUCACCCAGGCUGGAGUACAGUGGCACCAUCUUGGCUCACUCUAGCCUCGACCUCCUGGGCUCAAGUGAGCCUCCUACCUCAGUCUCCCAAAAUGCUGGGAUUACAAGCAUGAACCACUGUGACUUGCCUUCUUGGCAAUUUUAAAUGAAAGAAGAAGAUGGAAUAAUGCCUACUGAGGACUAUGUUUGAGGGGUGUUGUAUGACCCCGUUUUCCAUACCCAGCCAACUUGUCAUGUGACAAGUCCACAGAAAGAUGUUAUAUGACAGGAAUCUAUGAACUAGUCUUCCCUGAAAUGUACCUGACUACAGCUAACAUCAUAUCACAUGAUGAAAGACCGCGUUGUUUUCCCCUGAGGUUGGCAGAAUGACUGUCUACAUAGGAAUAGCUCCUCUGCAGAGACAUCUAGAAGAUGCUGAGAUAAUAUAUGUAAAAACUGACAAGCCCUUUGGGACAGAUACCAGCAAAUGCAAGGCGUAUGCUAUGGAAGUUUUAUCAUCCUAACAGAUAAGCCCGUCCCCAACUCCAGUGAGUGACUGAGAGACACGGGCAUGAACGCUGAGCUCAGAUGACAGCAUCUUUUCACAGCAGACCUGGGCCCAGCCCCUGGAAGCACACGAUGAUGAACUGUCCUCUGGUUUCCCAAGACUUCAAAAAUGAAACCCAGUGAUCAAGAGAUGUUUGGCUUUGAACACUGCGGGAAUUAAAGCCAGCACCCAGUUAAAGCCAGUGAGGACAGCACUCCAAGGUUUGGGGACGGUCUCAGGACACUAAUCCUGGUUCCUUUUCUAUUUUGCCUGGGUCCCUCCUGCCCAUCCUGGGAAGCCGUGGCAGCUGUUGGGGAUGUGGGGCCCCAGGUAACUGAAGGAUUAACUCACGUCUCAAAUUGCAUGGCAUUUCUCCUCUUCAGCACCAUUUUUUACCCUCAUUGAGAGAGAUCUAUCACUUCCCCCCCUCUCCUGCCAUGCCAAUAUGUGUCUGUGUUGGAGGGCAGGGGUGUAUUUAGGGAGCAGGAGAAUGUUCCCAAGUCUGGAAACUCGGAACAGUCUGCCUGGCCCUCUUUGCAGAAAAACGAGGGAGUCCCAGCAGACAGAAGGGGGCAGUGGCGCUGAGCUCCCCGAGCUGAGCUGUGGCCUCAAAACACUGAACAGAUUCAGUCCUUCCUCCCAAACAGGCCUGGUAAGCGAUGAAAAGAGUUCUGCCCAAACACUCAGGAACUGGAUUAUUGUCGUUCCUGGCUCAUUAGGAGCCUGGCUGCCCUCAUGCCAGCUGCGUGGGGUCCUCUGGAGGCCACCCAGACCAGCCUGCAGCUUCCUUUCCUGUAGGGGCCAGCACGGUCCCUUCCUCUGGAGAACGCUC